rnacentral:miRNA from 1 species
CGGGGUCGCAGCGGCAGAGCCUGC